GAUCUCACGUUUGAUCUGCUAUUUAAUCUGCAAUUUCUUUCACCAUUUGAAGCAUUUUAUUGCAUUAGAAGCAAGAGAAAACAAUUUAGGCAGAUAAAGAGCCGUUAGAGCAAUUUUAGGAAGCAUAAAAGGCAAUUAAAACAGGCAAAAAAAUAGCCGUUGCUGAUAUUUUCCGUCGCAGGGGUCGACUCAUGAGUCG
rnacentral:lncRNA from 1 species